UUUUAGAUUGGUGCAAAAGUAAUUGUGGUUUUUGCCAUUAAAAAUGAUGGCAAAAACUGUAAUUACUUUUGCACCAAUCUAAUA
rfam:Pan troglodytes isolate Yerkes chimp pedigree #C0471 (Clint) chromosome 22, whole genome shotgun sequence.